GUGGGGAUUAUGGAUCAGUGGUAGAGCGCUCACCUGGUGAGGGUGAGGCACUGGGUUCAAUCCUCAGCACCACA
rnacentral:tRNA from 1 species